rnacentral:lncRNA from 1 species
GUAGGUUUCCUGGAAAUGCUCCUGCUAUCCGUGUCAGGGAUGCCUUGACUGCGCUCCAUUUGUCUCGUCGUCUGUCUAUGAUGAUGAUGAAUCCAAUGCUGGCAGCCUCCAGACUGGGAAUGCUGGUUAGGUACGUGACCACAUUCAGAAAAUCCUCAUCGGGUAUUUCACUGAAUCCUGCAAACUCUGGGAAGGUAAUAAUUGGCGCUCCAUCCU